rnacentral:rRNA from 1 species
GACGAACGCUGGCGGCGUGCUUAACACAUGCAAGUCGAACGGUGAAGCGCCUUCCUUUUUGGUGGGUGUGGAUGAGUGGCGAACGGGUGAGUAACACGUGAGUAACCUGCCCCCUUCUUCUGGAUAACCGCAUGAAAGUGUGGCUAAUACGGGAUAUUCUGGGUCUGUCGCAUGAUGGGUCUGGGAAAGAUAUUGUUUCGGUUGGGGAUGGGCUCGCGGCCUAUCAGCUUGUUGGUGGGGUGAUGGCCUACCAAGGCGGUGACGGGUAGCCGGCCUGAGAGGGUGGACGGUCACACUGGGACUGAGACACGGCCCAGACUCCUACGGGAGGCAGCAGUAGGGAAUAUUGCACAAUGGGCGCAAGCCUGAUGCAGCGACGCCGCGUGAGGGAUGGAGGCCUGCGGGUUGUGAACCUCUUUCGCCAGUGAAGCAGGCCUGCCUCGUUUGUGGGUGGGUUGACGGUAGCUGGAGAAGAAGCGCCGGCUAACUACGUG